CUACGUGCCAGCAGCCGCGGUAAUACGUAGGGCGCGAGCGUUGUCCGGAAUUAUUGGGCGUAAAGAGCUUGUAGGCGGUUUGUCGCGUCUGCUGUGAAAGGCCGGGGCUUAACCCCGUGUAUUGCAGUGGGUACGGGCAGACUAGAGUGCAGUAGGGGAGACUGGAAUUCCUGGUGUAGCGGUGGAAUGCGCAGAUAUCAGGAGGAACACCGAUGGCGAAGGCAGGUCUCUGGGCUGUAACUGACGCUGAGAAGCGAAAGCAUGGGGAGCGAACAGGAUUAGAUACCCUGGUAGUCCAUGCCGUAAACGUUGGGCACUAGGUGUGGGGGACAUUCCACGUUUUCCGCGCCGUAGCUAACGCAUUAAGUGCCCCGCCUGGGGAGUACGGCCGCAAGGCUAAAACUCAAAGAAAUUGACGGGGGCCCGCACAAGCGGCGGAGCAUGCGGAUUAAUUCGAUGCAACGCGAAGAACCUUACCAAGGCUU
rnacentral:rRNA from 1 species